UCUCCGUUGGUGAACCAGCGGAGGGAUCAUUACCGAGUUUACAACUCCCAAACCCCUGUGAACCUACCUUAAUGUUGCCUCGGCGGAUCAGCCCGCGCCCCGUAAAACGGGACGGCCCGCCAGAGGACCCAAACUCUAAUGUUUCUUAUUGUAACUUCUGAGUAAAACAAACAAAUAAAUCAAAACUUUCAACAACGGAUCUCUUGGUUCUG
rnacentral:misc_RNA from 1 species